AAUUUAUUGUGUGGACAUUUUGAAAAACCAUUUUCAAGCGUUCCCACACCUCAUAGAAGCUUUCUCCUUCCAUCUAUCUAAAGACAACAAUCUCUCUCUUUAAUU
rnacentral:snoRNA from 1 species